CCUACGGGAGGCAGCAGUGAGGAAUAUUGGUCAAUGGGAGAGAUCCUGAACCAGCCAAGCCGCGUGAGGGAAGACGGCCCUAUGGGUUGUAAACCUCUUUUGUCGGAGAACAAAACCCGGGACGUGUCCCGGACUGCGUGUAUCCGAAGAAAAAGCAUCGGCUGACUCCGUGCCAGCAGCCGCGGUAAUACGGAGGAUGCGAGCGUUAUCCGGAUUUAUUGGUGUUAAAGGGUGCGUAGGCGGUCCGUUAAGUCAGCGGUAAAAUGACGGGGCUCAACCCCGUCGAGCCGUGGAAACGGGCAGACUUGAGUUGGCUGGAAGUACGCGGAAUGCGCGGUGUAGCGGUGAAAUGCAUAGAUAUCGCGCAGAACUCCGAGUGCGAAGGCAGCGUACCGGCGCCAGACUGACGCUGAGGCACGAAAGCGUGGGGAUCGAACAGGAUUAGAUACCCGUGUAGUC
rnacentral:rRNA from 1 species